GACCAGACUCCUACGGGAGGCAGCAGUGGGGAAUAUUGGGCAAUGGAGGAAACUCUGACCCAGCAACGCCGCGUGAAGGAUGAAGGUUUUCGGAUUGUAAACUUCUGUCGCGAGGGACGAAGAAUGACGGUACCUCGUAAGAAAGCCCCGGCUAACUACGUGCCAGCAGCCGCGGUCAUACGUAGGAUCCGAGCAUUAUCCGGAGUGACUGGGUGUAAAGAGUUGCGUAGGUGGCAUAAUAAGUAGCUAGUGAAAUCUGGUGGCUCAACCAUUCAGACUAUUAGCUAAACUGUUAAGCUCGAGACCGUUAGGGGUAACUGGAAUUUCUAGUGUAGGAGUGAAAUCCGUAGAUAUUAGAAGGAACACCAAUAGCGUAGGCAGGUUGCUGGGACGGUUCUGACACUAAGGCACGAAAGCGUAGGGAGCAAACGGGAUUAGAUACCCCCGUA
rnacentral:rRNA from 1 species